rnacentral:rRNA from 1 species
AAGACCCCAUGGAGCUUUAAACCCAACAACACCUAUCUAUUUUAUUCCCCCAUAUUUAUACGGUUAUGUUUGUUUGGUUUUAGGUUGGGGUGACCGCGGAGUAUAAAACAACCUCCACGAAGAAAAGACUAAUAAUCUUUAUCAGAGAAAGACAUUUCUAAGAAAUAAUACAUUAACUUUAAAUGAUCCGAUAUUCGAUUAACGAAUCAAGUUACCCUGGGGAUAACAGCGCAAUCCACCUUAAGAGCCCUUAUCGACAGGUGGGUUUACGACCUCGAUGUUGGAUCAGGGUAUCACAGUGGUGCAGCAGCUACUAAUGGUUCGUUUGUUCAACGAUUAAAACCCU